rnacentral:tRNA from 1 species
GAGGUAAAUGGGGUUAUAGUAGGAUUUCUAAUCUUAGUGUAGGGCGGUUCGACUCCGUUCGUGUCUCU